rnacentral:rRNA from 1 species
UACGUAGGGGGCAAGCGUUGUCCGGAAUCAUUGGGCGUAAAGCGCGCGUAGGCGGCCCUGUAAGUCCGUUGUGAAAGUCAAAGGCUCAACCUUUGAAAGCCGAUGGAUACUGCAGGGCUAGAGUCCGGAAGAGGCGAGUGGAAUUCCGGGUGUAGUGGUGAAAUGCGUAGAGAUCCGGAGGAACCCCAGAGGCGAAGGCGGCCACCUGGUUCAGCACUGACGCUCAGACACGACAGCAUGGGGAGCGAACGGG